rnacentral:tRNA from 1 species
CCCUGGGUGGUGCAAAGUGUUAACAUGUUUGGCUGCUAACCGAAAGGUUGGUGGUUUGAGUCCACCCAGAGGCG